rnacentral:rRNA from 1 species
AGCAGCCGCGGUAAUUCCAGCUCCAAUAGCGUAUAUUAAAGUUGUUGCAGUUAAAAAGCUCGUAGUUGAAUUUCGGGAUCAAUUUGCUGGUCGUGCCUCCGGUACGUACUGGUAUUUAUUGGUUUCUCCCUUCUGACUAACCAUGAUGUCAUUCAUUUGGUGUUGUGGGGAAUCAGGACUGUUACUUUGAAAAAAUUAGAGUGUUUAAAGCAGGCAUAAGCUUGAAUACAUUAGCAUGGAAUAAUGAAAUAGGACGUUUGAUCCUAUUUUGUUGGUUUCUAGGAUCGACGUAAUGAUUAAUAGGGAUAGUUGGGGGCAUUAGUAUUCAAUUGUCAGAGGUGAAAUUCUUGGAUUUAUUGAAGACUAACUACUGCGAAAGCAUUUGCCAAGGAUGUUUUCAUUAAUCAAGAACGAAAGUUAGGGGAUCGAAGACGAUCAGAUACCGUCGUAGUCUUAACCAUAAACUAUGCCGACUAGGGAUCGGAUGAUGUUAAUUUUUUAAUGACUCAUUCGGCGUACC